rnacentral:ncRNA from 1 species
CAAAAUGCGUUGAUAAAGACACGUCUUUUCGAAUCCUCACCUUCAGAGAGCGGCCUGCUUGGUGAGAAGGCCGUAUUUGAGCUUGAAAAGGUAUCCCUUUUGAGCAGAAAGAGUGAAUUCAGUAACUCUUUCCGGCAGCAGACCGUUAUCUGAGAGCGUCCUGUCUGAUUGGCAGGAAAUUUAGGUGGUACCGCGAUUUCAAGUCGUCCUAUUU